rnacentral:lncRNA from 1 species
GAGAGAGAGAGAGAGAGAGAAACGAGCUGGCGGAGAGGAGCAGAAGGCAGGAGGGGAAAUCUGGCACAACGGCUGGGAGAGGAAACUUGAUGCUUCUGGGCCACCAUUUGCCAGGGCCUCGCUCGAGACGCCGAAAGAAGCCUGUUUGUGUGCUGCGGCCGUGCUGUGACUUUGGAUCUUGUCUUUCAGCCGGCGCCUCGGUUCCUGCCCAGCUGGAUUUGGGGGGCAGCAUUGCCUGGCGCAGGGAGAUCAAAUGAGACUGCAAAGAAGCAUAAAAUGAAUAGACAAUCCAACCAACCAAAGACCGGGGGCAGCAGCAGGCCAGCAAGACGGCAUCUUCUCCUUCCCAGCCUAGAAGCCCUGUGAAAUCGAGGAUCUUCCCCCUAAAACACAUACACACAAGAUAUGUGCAAUCAAGCUGCCACCGCUUGGUAAAAAGCCAUGGUGCCUAACCAAAAAGGAUCAGGAACAGAUCCUUGAAUCAGCUGUCACUUCUAUAGAAUGGGAUUUUUUUUUCCUUCCUCCUUAACCUGCGCUGGAAAUUGCCGUUGGCUUUAUACAUCUCUAUAGAGAGAGGCUAAAGAGUCUUGCGUGAGAAAGAAGCAAUUUACAAUGCAAAUAGAGGCCUGUGAAGGGACGGAUGCUGCUGCUCACUCGUAACAGCUUGCUGCACCUUAAUAGCUGGUUUUAUUUUCUGAUAUUAAUAGAUGAAUUGUUGGCUAACGCUGCCGGAGAUUACUUGCUGAAAGGAAAAAGAAAAGUUCGGAAUAAACUCUGAAGGCAACAGAUCUCGUUUGGAUGUUUUAGCCGCGCACACACACAAACAGAAACCAGGUCAUAUUUACAUAAAAGGAGGAAUCUUAAGCGCGGCAAGUAUCCUGGACGACCACUCUUCGGUACUGCCAGAAAGGAUCAGGACCUGGAGUCUGGCAAGAGGAAGACAGAGGCCUGUGUGGGAAGCGAGUUGUUAUCUUUGGUUAUCUAGCUGUAUGAGUGUAUUGGUCUUCAUAAAGCUAGAUAACCGAAAGUAAAAACUCCUUCAAGAUCGCCGGGGAGCGUGUGAGAAUGAAAGACUACAGCCGAGAGACAGUAAAAACCAGAAAGGACAGAUGCUUCUCUGUUCCAAGAGGGUUUCCUUGAGGAAGCUACUGAAGCAGAAAGACAUGAUGGAGACGAGAUCGCCUCCCCUCUUGUCAAAGUGUUAAAAAAAUGUUCUGUCUUACUCUGCGCCUAGCAUUGGAAAUGAAAGUGACAUUUACGCCACAACCCACGUGUGCGCCUCCUCUCUUUUUGUUUAAGGAUGAUCAGGUCUAUCCAGGAAACAGCUCUGGCAUCCCAAACUGAAAUAAUUAGGACGUAUAUAGACCUGACAAAAAUGGAAAGGGGGUGGGGAAUCUGAGGGUCUGUCUUGCCUAAUUGAUUCCGCUAAACGGAAUGCAGGAGAUGUGAACGGCAGGACGCUCCGAUUCCCACGCUCGGGGGCAAGUGAUAAAGCGGGGCCGGGCAGCCUAUGACAGACAGCCCUGUUGGGGGGUGGGGGUAUGAAAAAAACAUCAAGUGCACACACCAUACUCAUCUCCAUCGCUUAAGAAAGUAAAGGCAUUUCCCACCCACAGCCAUCUGCAGCUUCCCAAAUGGCAGCACCAACUGGUCUGUAGCUGCUACAUAGUCUGCUUCUGUUAAUUUUUUAACCACUGUUUAAUCUGGCCAUAAUUAAGUUUGGCUUUCUUCGUUGUUUGAGAUUUUCAGAAUUCAAGGCAAGCUAGUAGAAAGCAAUUCCAAGAAAGUCCCAUGACUGCCUGCCCCUAAUGUCAAAAUCUCAGUCCAUGAGAUUAUGGCCUUGUGACCACAUUUUUGCUUUUGUUUUGGGUGGGCAAAUGUGUAUAGAGAUAAAAUACAUAUCUCUAUAUAACAGUCGUUAUUAUAAUUUCAUGAGGCUUUUUACCUCUUAACAUGAUACAUCUAGGAACUUGGUCUAAUUGUGCUAGUAGAUAUACACUAGAAGUAAAACUAUAAAGUCAUUAGCCUGUAGAAAGUUGAUUAUGAUAACAAUAUGAUAAAAAGUUUGUUUUGGAAUAGUCUCAGCUAGAUGGGUCUAAAUAGCCAUUUUAAUGUAAUCUAAAAAUAACACUAUGCCUAGCAGAAACUUUGGCGCUUUGGAGGUCCCCAUUGUCGCCUUUUCAUAAAAGUCCUUAAGUUUUCCAUAUGUCACCAAGCAAACAUUUGUAUAGGCAUUUACACAGAAAUAUAACCAUUGCAAUUAGAAAAUAUCCAAAAUAGCCUGUUAUCUUCCACGUGGCCUAGAUUAUUGACAAUCCCAAAUAUACAAUUUUUCUUUAAAAGUAGUACAAUUUCCUUUGUAGCUUCAAUUCCUUAUAUGACUUCAGACUGGAGAAGCCUGUUAAACCACUGUUAGUUUCAGUUAGAAAGUCUGAGAGACUUUAUACAUAAAUUCUCAAUUUGGCUGCUGUACACGUGCCAGAGUUUUACUACUGUAGUGACCGUUGAGAAGACCCUUGUUUAUUUACAUUUGAAGCACUGUUUGUGCAAACAACCUUUCAUUGUUAAGUGCCUGUAUUCCUUUCAUUUACUUCAUGUCCAGGGGUGCUAUUUACCUAGAACCAUUGUCUACUACAAUUAACAUUUACAUUACAAAGUGUGUGGUUUUCUUUUUCAAGGAGGUUCAAUUAAGGCAAUAAGAUGUUUGCUGGAGAAACCUAUUGUUUACUGAAAGCACUCAAUGAAGUCAAAUUACUGAAGCUUUUGCCUACAUCUUGGUCUUUUAUGUAAAUAUGUUAAAUAUAACAUCUAAGGAAAAUAAACAAUAUUAUAAUUAUGUGUUUGCCAUUGUCAUAUCAAACUUGCUU